rnacentral:rRNA from 1 species
UACAGAGGGUGCAAGCGUUGUUCGGAAUUAUUGGGCGUAAAGGGCGCGUAGGCGGUGCGGUAAGUCUGCAGUGAAAUCUCUGGGCUCAACUCAGAGUCUGCUGUAGAAACUGCCGUGCUUGAGUGUGGGAGAGGUGAGUGGAAUUCCCAGUGUAGAGGUGAAAUUCGUAGAUAUUGGGAAGAACACCAGUGGCGAAGGCGGCUCACUGGCUCGUAACUGACGCUCAUGCACGACAGCGUGGGGAUCAAACAGG